rnacentral:rRNA from 1 species
UGAGGAAUUUUCCGCAAUGGGCGAAAGCCUGACGGAGCGACGCCGUGUGGGUGAUGAAGGUUUUCGGAUCUUAAAGCCCUGUCAGCAGGAACGAUAUUGACGGUACCUGCAGAGGAAGCCCCGGCUAACUACGUGCCAGCAGCCGCGGUAAUACGUAGGGGGCGAACGUUGUCCGGAAUCAUUGGGCGUAAAGCGCUUGUAGGCGGUCGAGUAAGUCAGAUGUCAAAUCCCCGGGCUCAACCCGGGUCCGCAUCUGAUACUGCACGGCUAGAGAGAUGUAGAGGAAAGCGGAACUACCGGUGUAGCGGUGAAAUGCGUAGAUAUCGGUAGGAACACCAGUGGCGAAGGCGGCUUUCUGGACAUUUUCUGACGCUGAGAAGCGAAAGCUAGGGGAGCAAACGGG